UUGUAAAAAUUGUUUGCUUUUAUAGCUCUUCACCAUAUAGAACUAUUUACCGGCUCCGGGUACUGACCCACCAAAGACUGUCCGAUUAGAGACGAAACGAAGAUGCACUUGUUUUUUAUAAGACUAACCCAUUUAUUGUCACCACUCAACAGACUGUUUGGUCUGGUCUGUGUAUGUAUGUGUCUCAACAUGUAGAAGGAGAGAUUUAAGAUAGAGGUUAGAAUAAUAAAAACCCAUAGCCUUUUUUACAGCCGCCCCCAGAUUUCCAUAAGGAAAUAUGUACUUAUACAAAAAGGCUUAUUUUAUUGGUUGAAUUUACAAUUACUUCAAUCAGGAAUAGCAGGUAAUUGUAUAAGGCGUGCGACUGGUCUAGUGUAAGCCUUUUCUCCCACCUGAACUUUGGCUGUCCUCACUCUGGUGUCAGCUCCAGGGUAUACUUCCGACACCUUCCCCACAGGCCAGAGAGCUCUGGGUAGCUGCGGGUCAAUAAUCAGCACCGUAGUGCCAACCUGGAUGUCUGGAGUAUCCUUUUGCCAUUUUUGACGACCUUGAAGACCAGGGAGGUAGAAUUUGAUAUAAUGUCUCCAAAAUUGGUCCGCAAGGAUUUGGCUGUGGCGCCAUCGACGCCGACUGAUCAGUUCCGACUGCGGGUAUACUGUCAGGGGGAGUGAUGCAUCCGGCCGCCCCAUUAGGAGACAAUUUGGGGUAAUAGGGUCAGGAUCGGAAGCAUUACUUGAUGUAUAUCCCAGUGGUUUGGAGUUCAAAAUUCCCUCAAUUUCUACCAGCACGGUGUGAAGGACCUCGAAGGUUACUGAUUGAGUUCCUAGAGUGACCAUCAGUGCGUUUUUCAAAGAGCGAAUUUCUCGCUCCCAACAGCCUCCAAAGUGUGGUGAAUUAGGCGGAUUGAAUUGGAAUUCGAUUUGCUGUUUGGCCAAUUGUCUCUGCAGAUCUGGGCCAAGAGCUGUAAAAGCUUCCCUUAGCUCUCUCUCACCUCCUCUGAAGUUCGUGCCUUGGUCUGACAAAAGUUCAUGGGGUUUUCCUCGUCUAGCCAUGAACCGCCUGAGGGCCAUAAGGAAGGAAUCAGUUUCCAGACUGUGGAGGAUGUCGAUGUAUACUGCUCUGGUGGUGAGGCAUUUGAAUAUUAUUCCCCAUUUCUUCUCACUGCGCCGACCCGUUCUGAUAGUAUAAGGACCGAAGCAGUCCACGCCAGUGGAGUAAAAGGCGGGCUUAAAAAGACGCAGUCUGGCUGGGGGAAGGUCUGCCAUCUUAGGUACCUCUGGUUUUUUUCUCCAUUUCUGACACUGCACACACUCUCGUUGCAAACGCUUGAUGGCCUCUCUUCCUCGCAGAACCCAGUAUUUACGGCGGAGUUCAGCGAACACUCUCUCAGGACCUGAAUGACAAAGUU
ensembl:lncRNA